UCGCAUUCGCUGACCUCAUGGAGCAGUUGGGUAACUGUGCCUCGAGCAUUUGAAAAGAGAAAGCACUUGGCAUCGCAUUUUCAAACCGCUUCUAACAAUAAUGUGUAAAAACAGAAGGGGGAAAAAAAAAACCCAGACCCAAAUUUCACGUGUUCCGCUCCAUCUUUUUUUAAUUUUCCAGUGGAAAAAGCCAGGACUCCUCAGCUUUUGCAAGUUGUUUCUUCAGAAGGUUCAGGUUUCGGUAAACAGUUUCUCAAAACUAAAAGCCCCACAUUCCUGCUCCUGCCAUCACCCUCCGGGGAAGUGCCACAACCUACACAAUCCAUGUGGAGCCAAUUUAAAAUCCCCUCCGUGUAAGAAAGUGCAUUUUGUUCAUUAACGGGCUCCGAGUGCUCAGCUGGGCUGAGGAGGCAGCUCUGCAGCCAUCCCAGAAAUGUGGGAUCCAGCAGGAAUCAUCCUCCAGAGGAUCAUCCUCCACAGGCACGUCCCAGAGCAGAGCAGUGCCCCCUGCAAGCCCCCCCAGCACACGGGAGAACCUCAACAACCAGCACCAGACACCUGAGCUGGAGGUCUCUGCCUCUGCUGGCUUUGGGGGAAAGGUUUAAACAGGAGCAAAAAGCUGGAAAGCAGGGGAUUGCUGGAGCAGGGAUUGCUGUUGUGCCCAACACCAACUGGGAGAUGGUGGGGACAGGAACUGCAGCCCCACAGCCCGACCAGCUCAGGGCCAGACAGAGCCCUUUGACUUUGCACAUCCCAAUCCACAACUGGGGCUGGGAUUUCAAUUGUCAUUCCCAAGCCAGAGGGAGCCACAGAAAGGAGGGGAUUUUCCUCUCUGGGAAAGCCAGCUGCUAUUUCUUGGUGGAUUUGUAAUACUUUUCUGGCAGGUUAUAUUUAUCCACGGGCUGUGUGGCUACAGGAACCAGAUGUGGGACUGAAGGGCUGUGCUGCACCAGCGUCACAAACAUCCUGCAAACAUCAGCUCCACCUGCCCCGUGCACAGAGCUGGACAUGGGAUGGAGGGAGCCAGGCACUGACAGCCAAAAAAUUGUGCAUGGGUGCAUGGUCAGCAAAAACAGGGGAGAUGACAGGAGACAAUGGAUGACCUGCCUGGUCCUGAUACUGUCCUGAUGACUUGAGGCUGUUCACAGGAUGGAAGAGCAAACCAGGGCUCAGAUUUUUGCCAGCUGAGUGGAAAAAAAAA